rnacentral:rRNA from 1 species
UACGUAGGGUGCAGGCGUUAAUCGGAAUUACUGGGCGUAAAGCGUGCGCAGGCGGUUUCUUAAGUCAGAUGUGAAAGCCCCGGGCUUAACCUGGGAACUGCGUUUGAAACUGGGAGACUUGAGUGUGGCAGAGGGGGGGUGGAAUUCCACGUGUAGCAGUGAAAUGCGUAGAUAUUCGGAGGAACACCAGUGGCGAAGGCGGCUCACUGGUCCGGGUACUGACGCCUGAGGGUGCG